GACAGAGGUGCCAAGCGUUAGGCGGAAUCACCGGGCUUAAAGCGUGUGUAGGCGGAAUUGUAAGUACCUUGUGAAAUCCCACGGCUCAACCGUGGAACUGCUCGGUAUACUGCUUUUCUUGAGCCACUUAGGGGUCGUCGGAACAAACGGUGGUGCGGUGAAAUGCGUAGAUAUCGUUUGGAACGCCAAUGGUGAAAACAGACGACUGGGAGUGUGCUGACGCUGAGACACGAAAGCCAGGGGAGCGAACGGG
rnacentral:rRNA from 1 species